ensembl:snoRNA
CACAGAUGAUGUGCUUUUUGACAGGCGGACAGAGACUCUGUGCUGAUUGUCAAGUUCUGUUUC